rnacentral:snRNA from 1 species
GGGCUCACUUUGGUAGUACAAAUGCUAAAACUGGAAAGAUACAGACAGCAUUAGCAAGGGUCCUGCACAAGGACAGCAUAUAAACUCAUUAAGUGCAUUUGU